rnacentral:rRNA from 1 species
AGGUCAAGCGAAGAAGGGCGCAGGGCGGAUGCCUUGGCACUGAGAGCCGAUGAAAGACGUGAUAAGCUGCGAUAAGCUUCGGGGAGGAGCAAAUAUCCUUUGAUCCGGAGAUCUCUGAAUGGGGAAACCCGGCUGUAUGGACUACAGUCAUCCAUAAGUGAAUCCAUAGCUUAUGGAAGGGAACCCGGGGAACUGAAACAUCUAAGUACCCGGAGGAAGAGAAAGAAACAUUCGAUUCCGUAAGUAGCGGCGAGCGAACGCGGAAGAGCCCAAACCGUGAUGCGUGCAUCGCGGGGUUCGGACUGCAUAAGGGAUUCAGUAACGGCAGGAGAACGGCUUUGGAACAGCCGGCCAGAGAGGGUGAGAGCCCCGUAUCCGAAGCCAGAGCUGACCUGGCAGGAUCCAGAGUACCACGGGACACGGGAAACCCUGUGGGAACGAGCGGAGACCACUCCGUAAGGCUAAAUACUACUCAGUGACCGAUAGCGUAUAGUACUGUGAAGGAAAGGUGAAAAGAACCCCGGGAGGGGAGUGAAAGAGAACCUGAAACCCUGUGUCUACAAGCUGUGGAAGUGCUUCUUAUGCACGACCGCGUACUUUUUGUAGAACGGUCCGGCGAGCUGCGGGUACUGGCAAGGUUAAGCACUUCAGGUGCGGAGCCGCAGGGAAACCAAGUCUUAAGAGGGCGUUUUAGUCAGUACGUGCAGGCCCGAAACCGGGUGACCUAUCCAUGUCCAGGUUGAAGCCGCCGUAAAAGGCGAUGGAGGACCGAACCCACAUCCGUUGAAAAGGGUGGGGAUGAGGUGUGGAUAGCGGAGAAAUUCCAAUCGAACCCGGAGAUAGCUGGUUCUCCUCGAAAUAGCUUUAGGGCUAGCCUCAUACAAGUCUGCCGGAGGUAGAGCACUGAAUUUCCGCGGGGGCGUCAAAGCCUACCAAAGAAUAUCAAACUCCGAAUGCCGGACAGAUGGUGUAUGGGAGUCAGACUGUACGAGAUAAGUUGGACAGUCAAAAGGGAAAGAGCCCAGACCGCCGGCUAAGGUCCCAAAGUGGGUGUUAAGUGGAAAAGGAUGUGGGAUCUCUAAGACAACCAGGAUGUUGGCUCAGAAGCAGCCAUUCAUUAAAAGAGUGCGUAACAGCUCACUGGUCGAGAGGUCCUGCGCCGAAAAUGUCCGGGGCUGAAACACCACACCGAAGCCGCGGAACCCGUAAGGGUUGGUAGAGGAGCAUUCUUAGGGGAGUGAAGCAUUACCGGAAGGGGAUGUGGACUGCUAAGAAGAGAGAAUGCCGGAAUGAGUAGCGAGAGCAAGGUGAGAAUCCUUGCGGCCGAAUAUCCAAGGUUUCCAGAGUAAAGCUGAUCUGCUCUGGGUAAGUCGGGGCCUAAGGAGAGGCAGAGAUGCGUAUCCGAUGGACAGCAGGUUUAAGAUUCCUGCACCCCUUGUUAUCAGAACUGCGGGGACACGGGAAGGGAAGCAGAGCCGGGAAUGGAAAGCCCGGUGCAAGCGAAGUAGUCGCAGGGUUGGAAAAUCCGCCCUGCAUGAGACGAAGGCGUGAUGCGGAGCGAAAUGAAGUAGUGAAGCUGCGGCCCCUUCCUGUCGAGAAAAGCCGCUAUCGUGUAGCAAGGGCCCGUACCGUAAACCGACACAGGUGGAUGAGGAGAGGAUCCUAAGGCCGGCGGGAGAAGUGUUGUUAAGGAACUCGGCAAAAUGACUCCGUAACUUCGGGAGAAGGAGUGCUGCGCAAGCAGCCGCAGAGAAAUGGCCCAAGCAACUGUUUAGCAAAAACACAGGUCUAUGCGAAACCGGAAGGUGAGGUAUAUGGGCUGACGCCUGCCCGGUGCUGGAAGGUUAAGGGGAGAGCUUAGCGCAAGCGAAGGUUUGAACUUAAGCCCCAGUAAACGGCGGCCGUAACUAUAACGGUCCUAAGGUAGCGAAAUUCCUUGUCGGGUAAGUUCCGACCCGCACGAAAGGCGUAAUGAUUUGGGCACUGUCUCAACAACACACCCGGUGAAAUUGAAAUACCAGUGAAGAUGCUGGUUACCCGCGCCAGGACGGAAAGACCCCAUGGAGCUUUACUCCAGCCUGAUACUGGGAUUCGGUAUUGCAUGUACAGGAUAGGUGGGAGGCUAAGAACUCAUGGCGCCAGCCGUGAGGGAGCCGGUGUUGGGAUACCACCCCUGCAGUACUGGGUUUCUAACCUGCGCCCGUGACCCGGGCGGGGGACAAUGUCAGGCGGGGAGUUUGACUGGGGCGGUCGCCUCCGAAAGGGUAUCGGAGGCGCUCAAAGGUCUCCUCAGGAUGGUUGGAAACCAUCCAGAGAGUGCAAAGGCAGAAGGAGGCUUGACUGCGACACCGACGGGUGGAGCAGGUACGAAAGUAGGACUUAGUGAUCCGGUGGCAUAAAGUGGGAUUGCCAUCGCUCAACGGAUAAAAGCUACCCUGGGGAUAACAGGCUUAUCACUCCCAAGAGUUCACAUCGACGGAGUGGUUUGGCACCUCGAUGUCGGCUCAUCGCAUCCUGGAGCUGGAGCAGGUUCCAAGGGUUGGGCUGUUCGCCCAUUAAAGCGGUACGCGAGCUGGGUUCAGAACGUCGUGAGACAGUUCGGUCCCUAUCCGGCGCGGGCGCAGGAUAUCUGAGAGGAGCUGUCCUUAGUACGAGAGGACCGGGAUGGACCGUCCGCUGGUGGACCGGUUGUCAUGCCAAUGGCACGGCCGGGUAGCCAAGACGGGAAGGGAUAAACGCUGAAGGCAUCUAAGCGUGAAGCCCCCCUCAAGAUGAGAUAUCCAUACUCGAAAGAGUGAGAGACCCCUUAGAGACGAUGAGGUAGAUAGGGCAGAGAUGGAAGUAUGGAAGCACAGCGAUGUGUGGAGUUGACUGUUACUAAUCGGUCGAAAGCUUGACCUUAGU